CGGGGGGCACCAGCCUAGCGUUUCCUGAGAGCACGAGAGCACAAAGAUUUGCAGGUGUUUACCAGUGAGUCAAACCUGAAGUCCGCCUCUCAGGCAUAAGCUCCUGGACAAGCAAAUAGGACUUUUUUUUACGGAAAGAUUGGGGUAUGUCAGUCUGUGCAAUGUGGGGUGGGGAGGUGGGGUGGUAGCCUGCCCAGAAUGAUUUCUCUGAUGGGUACAGCCCCCGGGGACCCAGGACCGUAAGCUCCCACCCGGCAGCCAUCAGAGCCAGGCCCUCAAGGGGCACGCUCUGUGCGCAGCCGCAAUGCCCUGCGCACCACACCCUUGAGGGAGCUCCGGCGGGAGAUACUGGCUCCAGAGCCCAGGACGGGAGGCCGAAGACGGCGACCCGCCAGGACCUCCCUCCCUGGGGACAGCCCCAGCGACUUCCAAAUGCGUGCGAAAUCAUAUGGCUGUCGCUCAGGCCGAAGCUCCGAGACAAGGAAAAAGCAAAUGAGCGUCUCCCACACGGAGCCUGCACGCCCCUCGCUCCUCAAUGAGCCGCUUCCGCGCUGGGCACUGAGGCCGGUUCUGUUACCAGAGGUCAACCUUGGUUGGAAGUAGCAGACCCAGUUUCUGACAAAUCAUCAGGGCCUGGAUUUGAAUGAUCAUUUUUGGAAGGAAUAUCACAAAGCUGCCUGGAAUGCUUCCUAAGGAAUGAAUGGAAGUCCCUAAUUCGCCACAUUCUUGUCAGUAUUUGGUGUUGUCAGUAUUCUGGAUUCUGACCAUGCUAAUAGAAAACACUGAAGUAUCUUGUGGAGAAUCAUGGUCCCAAAUCACACUGGUCUCAAGGCCCUCCCUCCACCUGCGCGGAAGUCCACAGCCACCUGCUAUCUUCAGAGGUCUAAGAAACUGAGGCUGUGACACAUAAGAGCAGCAACAACAAAUGUAAUAACACAGACCAUCUGAUAAAAGCCUGCAAGACAACGAAUCCCAGGUAUUGAGGUAAAAAAUCCUGCAACACUUCUACAUUCCAGCAAGAGACUAUGAGCUACUCUCAUCUCAGGAAAGAAUGGAACUUCUU